rnacentral:rRNA from 1 species
AUGCUUGGGAAUCUGGCUUAUGGAGGGGGAUAACUGUGGGAAACUGCAGCUAAUACCGCGUAAUCUCUGAGGAGUAAAGGGUGGGACCUAUUGGCCACCUGCCAUAAGAUGAGCCCAAGUGGGAUUAGGUAGUUGGUGGGGUAAAGGCCUACCAAGCCUGCGAUCUCUAGCUGGUCUGAGAGGAUGACCAGCCACACUGGAACUGAGACACGGUCCAGACUCCUACGGGAGGCAGCAGUGGGGAAUAUUGCGCAAUGGGGGGAACCCUGACGCAGCCAUGCCGCGUGAAUGAAGAAGGCCUUCGGGUUGUAAAGUUCUUUCGGUAAUGAGGAAGGGAUGUUGUUUAAUAGAUGGCAUCAUUGACGUUAAUUACAGAAGAAGCACCGGCUAACUCCGUGCCAGCAGCCGCGGUAAUACGGAGGGUGCGAGCGUUAAUCGGAAUAACUGGGCGUAAAGGGCACGCAGGCGGACUUUUAAGUGAGAUGUGAAAUCCCCGAGCUUAACUUGGGAAUUGCAUUUCAG